rnacentral:tRNA from 1 species
ACAGCUCAGUUGCUUAGAGUGUGAUGCUGAUAAUGUCAAGGUUGCAGGUUCGAUCCCUGUAUGGGACA